rnacentral:rRNA from 1 species
GAUGAACGCUGGCGGCGUGCCUAAUACAUGCAAGUCGAGCGAACAGACGAGUAGCUUGCUCCUCUGACGUUAGCGGCGGACGGGUGAGUAACACGUGAAUAACCUACCUAUAAGACUGGGAUAGCUGCGGGAAACCGGGGAUAAUACCGGAUAAUAUGUUGAAUCGCAUGGUUCAACAGUGAAAGACGGGCUUGCUGUCACUUAUAGAUGGGUCCUCACCGCAUUAGCUAGUUGGUAAGGUAACGGCUUACCAAGGCAACGAUGGGUAGCGGACCUGAGAGGGUGAAUGCCUAGACUGGAAGUGAGACAGGGCCGAGACACCUGAGGUGGGCCGCAGUCGGGACUCUUACGCGAGGGGCGAGAGCCUAAUCGAGCACAGCCGCGGGAGGGAAGAAGGUGUUAGGCCGGGAGAACGAUGUUAUUAGGGAAGAUCUAAUGUGUAAGUAACUAUGCACGUCUUGACGGUACCUAAUCAGAAAGCCACGGCUAACUACGUG